UACGUAGGGUGCGAGCGUUAAUCGGAAUUACUGGGCGUAAAGCGUGCGCAGGCGGUUCGUUGUGUCGGAUGUGAAAUCCCCGGGCUUAACCUGGGAAUGGCCAUGGAAACUGGCGGACUGGAGUGCGGCAGAGGGGGGUGGAAUUCCGCGUGUAGCAGUGAAAUGCGUAGAGAUGCGGAGGAAUACCGAUGGCGAAGGCAGCCCCCUGGGAUAGCACUGACGCUCAGGCGCGAAAGCGUGGGUAGCAAACAGG
rnacentral:rRNA from 1 species